rnacentral:rRNA from 1 species
GACGAACGCUGGCGGCGUGCUUAACACAUGCAAGUCGAACGGUGAAGCUCCAGCUUGCUGGAGUGGAUCAGUGGCGAACGGGUGAGUAACACGUGAGCAACCUGCCCCUGACUCUGGAAUAAGCGCUGGAAACGGCGUCUAAUACUGGAUACGAGAAGGGUCCGCAUGGGCACUUUCUGGAAAGUUUUUCGGUUGGGGAUGGGCUCGCGGCCUAUCAGCUUGUUGGUGAGGUAAUGGCUCACCAAGGCGACGACGGGUAGCCGGCCUGAGAGGGCGACCGGCCACACUGGGACUGAGACACGGCCCAGACUCCUACGGGAGGCAGCAGUGGGGAAUAUUGCACAAUGGGCGAAAGCCUGAUGCAGCGACGCCGCGUGAGGGUUGACGGCCUUCGGGUUGUAAACCUCUUUCAGCAGGGAAGAAGCGAAAGUGACGGUACCUUCAGAAGAAGCACCGGCUAACUACGUG